rnacentral:rRNA from 1 species
CUCUACGGCCAUGCUACCCUGAACAAAUCUGAUCCCAUCUGAUCUCGGAAGCUAAGCAGGGUCGUGCCUGGUUAGUACUUGGAUGGGAGACCAGGUGCUGUAGGCA